AGUGAACGCUGGCGGUAGACCUAACACAUGCAAGUCGAACGGCAGCACAGUAAGAGCUUGCUCUUACGGGUGGCGAGUGGCGGACGGGUGAGGAAUACAUCGGAAUCUACUUUUUCGUGGGGGAUAACGUAGGGAAACUUACGCUAAUACCGCAUACGACCUACGGGUGAAAGCAGGGGAUCUUCGUACCUUGCGCGAUUGAAUGAGCCGAUGUCGGAUUAGCUAGUUGGCGGGGUAAAGGCCCACCAAGGCGACGAUCCGUAGCUGGUCUGAGAGGAUGAUCAGCCACACUGGAACUGAGACACGGUCCAGACUCCUACGGGAGGCAGCAGUGGGGAAUAUUGGACAAUGGGCGCAAGCCUGAUCCAGCCAUACCGCGUGGGUGAAGAAGGCCUUCGGGUUGUAAAGCCCUUUUGUUGGGAAAGAAAAGCAGCAGGUUAAUACCCCGCUGUUCUGACGGUACCCAAAGAAUAAGCACCGGCUAACUUCGUG
rnacentral:rRNA from 1 species